rnacentral:rRNA from 1 species
GGAUAUGACUCCUCAUCGCAUGGUGGGGGGUGGAAAGCUUUUUGUGGUUUUGGAUGGACUCGCGGCCUAUCAGCUUGUUGGUGAGGUAAUGGCUUACCAAGGCGACGACGGGUAGCCGGCCUGAGAGGGUGACCGGCCACACUGGGACUGAGACACGGCCCAGACUCCUACGGGAGGCAGCAGUGGGGAAUAUUGCACAAUGGGCGCAAGCCUGAUGCAGCGACGCCGCGUGAGGGAUGACGGCCUUCGGGUUGUAAACCUCUUUCAGUAGGGAAGAAGCGAAAGUGACGGUACCUGCAGAAGAAGCGCCGGCUAACUACGUGCCAGCAGCCGCGGUAAUACGUAGGGCGCAAGCGUUAUCCGGAAUUAUUGGGCGUAAAGAGCUCGUAGGCGGUUUGUCGCGUCUGCCGUGAAAGUCCGGGGCUCAACUCCGGAUCUGCGGUGGGUACGGGCAGACUAG